rnacentral:siRNA from 1 species
CAAGCGGUUCAUGCAGAUCAA